UACAGUGUGAUGGGAGAUGACCUCAACUGGGCCAUGAUGAUCACCUAAGAUAGAUCUGCCUUUACUAAACCCCGUGAUGUAUGACUGCUGCUCUUAAUGGUGCAAACUCAGAGGUUGAGAGAAAAGAGCACAGUUUCAUCUCCGGUUGGUUGCAUUGGCCUUGACAUGCCAUAACACUCCCUACGCUACACACUACUGUGUGUGUCUCACUUCAGCACACCCUGAGAGUCCUUGUCUGGAGACCUUGAGUGCUAAAAAGCAAGGGGGCCCCUCUUGUGGGAGAGCGAAAGGGAGCGAAAAACCCUGAACAGAUAAGAAACUUCUCCACCGGCAGGAACAAACCGUCCUGAAUGUUUCCCUUCUUCCACACUCUGCCUCUGACGUCUGCAGUGCGAUAGCAGAUAAUAACUGUAACAAGUUCACUGUUGACUUGAAUGAUUUGGCCAUCACAGACAAUGAACUUUGCCGGUGCAUCCAAGUUAUCAGUGUAGCACACUGAUCAGUUCUGGGUUUUUGUUUUUUUUUUUGUUUUUUUCCUUUUUGUUUUUUUUUCCUCCAGACUCCAUCUGUGAUGUCCACAGGUGUGCCGAAACCAAGAGGGAGGAUGAGAGCAGUGUGAGCACAGACAACAGCUACUUUGUCUUUUUCAAACAUCUUCAAGGUCCCUGUGGAGGGAUAAAUGGCCCAGAGGAGGUGCCCUCCCAGGAGAGACUCAACCGGAGCCUUACAGGGCUCCGGCGUGCAGCAACAGAGUAACCGGGGCUCUUUGCACUCGCUGUUCCUUUUUCCUAUGCAUAUACCUUUUUCAGAUGUAACUUUAAAGAGGCAUAGGGCAUGGGAAAAUGGGGCUGCAGAGGUAUUCCACCAGGCAGACAGCCAUUUCAUCAUCCUCUCCACAUGACAGCUGACCUCAAAGCGCACACACACACACACACACACACACACACACAAGCCAGGCUCCAGUCUGCCAUGGACUCGCUGUUUGGAGGAAGGCUGCAAAAUUCCGACACACUGACUGCAAGUGAUUUUUGUGAUUUGUUUUUUUAUCUUAAUUCAUAUUUCAUCAGAUUGAUUUUUGAUGAGAUUGUGUGUAGAGUGAUGUGAUUUCGUAUUUGCAUGCAGGUUUUUACGUCAUUGUUCAUUUAAAACAUCUGUUUGCUUCUGAAUAAUCUGUUUCCUGUUGUUUUUGAAUAAAGAACACUUGGCAUUAA